GAUUUCUGGCUUGUAACAACUUAUCGGCCACGGUUUCGUGUGUUAGUGUAGGUUGUUCUUGCCAUCCUUCCAAUCGCUAUUUGUCUUUCUUCAUUGAUGGGCAAGUGGUAUUGGAUCUUUUACUUUGAAAAAAUUAGAGUGUUUCAAGCAGGCUUUAUGCUAUGAAUACAUUAGCAUGGAAUAAUAAUUUAGGACUUCGGUUCUAUUUUGUUGGUUUCUAGGACUGAAGUAAUGAUUGAUAGGGAUAGUUGGGGGUGCUAGUAUUCAGCGGCCAGAGGUGAAAUUCUCGGAUUCGCUGAAGACUAACUUAUGCGAAAGCAUU
rnacentral:rRNA from 1 species